AAAAUAAACAUUAAAAUUUUUUUAAUUAAAAUAAUAAUAAUUAAAAUUAAAAGCUAAGUCUGCUCGAAUGCGAAGGUGAGCCCUUGAUGACCUCGCUACCUGCUUAACAUCUGUCACCUACCUCCCCACCUCUCUUCUUUUUUAAACAUGCAACAGCUUGGGGCGCCUGGCUGGCUCAGUUCGUAGAGCAUGUGACUCUCGAUCUUGGGGUCGUGAGUUUGAGCCCCGUGUUGGGUGUAGAGAUUACUUAAAUAAAACUCAAACAUAUAACAGCUUCAUUGCAAUAUAAGUCACAGAUCAUACAGUUUGCCCAUUUAAAAUGUACAUUUCGAUGGUGUUUAGUGUAUUCCCAGAAUUGUACAACCAUCACCACACUUAACUUUAGAACAUUUCAUCACCCCAAGAAGAAACCCCGUAUCCGUUAGUCACUCCCCAUUUCCCUUCAGCUCUUGACAAUUGGUAAUUUACUUCCAGUCUAUAUAGGUUGGUCUCCUUUACACCUUUCAUAUAAAUGGAAUCAUAAAAUAUAUGGUUCUCUCUGGCUUCUUCUACUUAGCAUAAUGUUUUCAGGGGUCAUCCAUGUUGUCCAAUAUAUCAGUAUUUCAUUUCUUUUCAUUGCCAGGUAAUAUUCCACCCUAUGGAUGUACUUUGCUUUGUUUAUCCGUUGAUGAGCCUUUGGAUGGUGUCCCCUGUUUGGACCGUUUUGAAUAACGCUGCUGUGAACAUUUGUGUGUCAGGUCUUGUGUGGGCAUAUGUUUUCAUUUCUCAUCCCUAAGAGUGGACAUGCUGGGUCAUGGGUAUCACUGUGUGUGACCAUGUGAGGAGCUUCGGACUGAUUUCCACGGCGGCGCCCUGUGUUACACCCCCACCAGCGGUCCGUGAGGACUUCCUGUUUCUCCACGUCCUCGACAACACUGUUUAUUAUCUGUCUUUUUUAUGAGAGCCUGCCACGUGGGGUUGGAGUGGUGUCUCAUUGUGGUUUUGAUCUGCGUUCCCCUGAUGACUAACGCCAUGGAUCGUCUUUUCAUGUGCUUCCCGGCCACGUGUAAGUCUGCUACAGAGAAGGCUACAUAGUAACCUUUCCCCGGGUUAAAAUGGGGAUUGUCUUUUCGUUACUGACUUGUAGGAGGUUUAUUUGUUUGAGAGAGAAAGAGAGUGAGCAGGGGAGGGGCAAAGGGACGGAGAGAGAGAAUCCCAAGCAGGUAGCCCUUCAUCAGCACAGAGCCAGACUCGGGCUCGAUCCCACGAACUGCGAGAUCAUGACCUGAGCUGAAAUCCAGAGUCAGACACUCAACCAACUGAGCCACCCAGACACCCCUACAGGAGUUCUUUAUAUAUACUACAUACAAAUCCCUUAUCAAAGAUAUGAUUCACAAAACUUGUCUUUCCUUCUGUGGGUGGUCUUUUCCUCCCACUCUUGGACGUGAACGUGUCUUCAAGAAGGUGGAACUUUCAGGAGUCACAAACUCUGAAGCCUUCAAAGCCGGGAAAAUAACCUAAAUAUAGCAACACGAGACUAGGAAAGCAUGGAUGGAAAUGGCCUGGGGCCCGGCUGCUAGGCUGAGAGCUCCCUUCCAGCCCCAGCGGCUGCCCGGCCCCCUCCACUCACCGAUACCCCCCACCCUACCCCAGGGGCUCUGGCACCUCCAGGGCCCAGGCCGCCGCCCAGAUGUGAAGGUCCUACUAGGCACCAGCUGUAUCUGCCCUCCUCUUGCUCCCGGUAGCUCUAAGCACAUCGUGGGGCCUCAGAGCACGUGGCAAGUCGCCCUGGGGCUGGCCCUGGAAGGAAGGGUGUGACCUGCCAGGGUUUGGUGGCAAGAAGAGGGAAGCACAUUUCUGGAGGGAGAAGCUGCCUCAACAGACAGGGCACCUUUCUACCAUCAUGCCGAAACGCUUUCACCACUGCGAAGAAGCGAACACCCAAGCUGUUUUUCUCUCCCGGACGUAAGCUGUGGGCAGGAUGGCCUCCCCUCUGUCCUCCUCCACACCGGGCUCACCUUCACCUCGAUUCUCCCUCGUUCCCCCUCCUGUUUGUGACAUUUCCGCCAGAGGUUGGGCAGAAAGUAUAUGGGGUCCUCCUGCGAAGCCCAGCUGCCCAGCCUCUGCGCAAACGCCCCCGGCCCUGGGGACUGAGGAAUGUCUUCUGUCUUAUGAGUUCUUCCAAGACACAUUUAACAGAGCACCUGCUGGGUGCCAGGCCCUGUUCUGUGUGCUCAGGAAUCAGACAAACAAGAUCUCCAUUUUCUUGAAAUUUACAUCCAGUGGGAGGAAACAGAAAACUCAUAGAAAUACUUUGUGAGCUCUGUUCUGUGCAGACCACGGUGUUUGGUGCUGGGCAGGGAGAUGAUGGAAGAACUUCCUGCAUUCAGAGUUUCCUGACCAUUGGCCCCCAGAUGGUCACAGGGCGCGACAAAAAGGUGUGGUCAGACGGGGGACAUUUGAUGCCUCGCCGACCGUUUUGCGGAUACAAGAUCACCCCUCCACAGGACAGAAUUUUUCUAGAGCAACGAGCGCUGACCCAUUUGCAUGGCAAUGCACUUGAAAGUAACUGCUUCUCAGUGAUGUCGCCAUGACAAAUCACAUUUCCCAGCGUUUUGUGCGGACGUCGCCAGAGUCUAGAUAGUGGUUUCUAGAGCCCCCCCGAAGAAUGUUGAUUCGCUCCCCGCCGCGGACCCAGGUUUCGGAAGAUUUUGUGACCACAAGCUGCCACGUGUUUCUGCACCCUCCAGGUGAAAUCCUACCUACACUAUCCCACUCAGUCCCCACGGCAGUGCGACGAUGGGCAUGUCAUCGUCACCCCACGUUAUGUAAGCAGGAAACACAAGGCACAGCGAGGCUUAAGACUUUGCCCAGGGCCCUGCAGCUGCUCAGAGUCGGGAUCUGAAUUCAGGCCUCUCAGACUCCACCCUGAGCUUUGCUAUGACGCCACGCUCUUUUGUCUUUUCGAAAUGAAGUCAUGAUAGAAACCAAAAUGCUAAUACCCAAACUGCAUUAUUCAAUACGAAUUGCCUUUACUUCCAAUUGUUAAAGAAUCGCCUAUACAAACUGGCCGCGCAGAGGGCGUUCUGGGCCCUGUCGCUCCGAUUCUGACAGCUGGUUCAUUGGUGCAGCCCUGUGCUGGAUGUUGUGAAAUGUUGAAAAUACGCUAAAGGUCUUGCUCACCGGCUCCCCCCAACCCCAGCUGGUUCCCCUCCCCACUUCCUCCCUCUCUUCCUUCCUCCCAUCCCUUCCUUCUUCCCUCCCUCCCUCCUUCCCUCCUUCUUUCCUUCCUAGUUUUUAAAAUUCAGGUGAAAAUCUCAUAACCUAUAGCUAACCAUUUUAAAGUGAACAGUUUAGUGGCGUUUACUACAUUCACUAUGUUGGGCAACCACCACCUCCACCUAGUUCCACAAUUUUCAUCACCCCAAAAGGAAACUUAGCGUCCAUUAAGCGAUUACUGCUCAUUGUGCCAGUGCCUGGAAACCAUCAUUCACCAGCUUUUGAAGCCUGGGCUCCGCGUGCCCAGGUUAGGAUCUCUGUUCCAGCCUCUCUGUCUACCUUCCUGAGUGAAAUCCCUCAAUCGGAAGGGGCUGCCUGAGCCACCUGCAACCCCCUUCCCCACGGCCCUCCUGCAAUUCCAGGACAGCGGCCCCUAGUGACUUCGGGCUGUGAGACUCCUCUCUGAAGCCCACCAGUUCUGAAUGGCCAGAGGUACAGGAACCCUGUAGCCCCGUGGGAUGUGGAAUCUACUCGAUUACAAAAUACUAACCAGCAGGACAAGAACAGGGUUGCCGUGUCUCCUUUCACUUUCUGUUACUUUCCACACGCAAUAGCUUUUACUCUUGUGAAAAACCAGAUGCUCGGUGGGGAGAUACAUAUUAAAAAAAAAUGAUGCUUUUUAAAAUUUUAUUUAUUUUGAGAGAGAGAGCGAGCGAGCAUGGGGAAGGGGCAGAUAGAGAGAGAGAGAGAGAGAGAGAGAGGGAGAGAGAGCCCCAAGCAGACUCCGCACUGUCAGCACAGAGCCCAAUGCAACUCACGAACGGUAAGAUCACGACCUGAGAUGAAAUCAAGAGUCAGAUGCUCAAGCGACUGAGCCACCCAGGCACCCCGGGAAAUGCACCCUUUUGACGGGCUUUUGCAUAUAUGAUGGAAGGAGCCAGCUAUUUUGCUCGAAGGAUGUGUGGACAGCACGUGCUAUGGGAGAAUAGGAUACUGAGGUUGCGAGCAAAAUGUGCCUGCUGUUUUAGAGCCGAGAAAGCAUUACAAAUUCAUGAUCUCAUGCACAUUUCUCAAACAGAAGAUAAUGUUCUUAUUCCCAUUUUACAGAUGAGGAAAUUCAAGGAGUCAGAAGCUAAUUGACUUGCCCAAAGCUGCACAGCUGGAAAUUGCAGGCAGGCCUUCCUGACUCCAAAAUCAGUGCCCUUUUCAGGACACCAAAUAUUAUGGGCUGACUGCUGGUGUUUCCCCACAAUACAUAGGUUGAAACCUAAUCCCCAACGUGAUGGUGUUGGGAGGUGGGGCCUCUGGGAGGGAUUCCCUCGUGAGAGUGGAGACUUCAUCAAUGGGAUUAGUGCCCUUGUGAAACAGACCCCAAGGCCCCCAGCGGAUUUGGUGACUGGUGAGGGAGGGCCCACUCUCUGGGUCAUAGCCUUCUUCGGUGUGUCCUCACAUGACAUAGGUUUUUAUCCCCAGGUUUCCAUUUGCUUGAAUUUGUCACAUCUGUCAGGACCUGACCGAUGAGCAAGAUCAAAGGCCAGAAUCAUCCUCUUAGCCUUGCUGUAUCCAGUGAGUGGAGACACAUAUGAGUCGGACUCCUCAUCUUAGACAUCUCUGAAUUCCGUGGAGUGCAGGUGAAGCGUGAUCCAGCCCCUGCACACACCUUCACUUAUUCCUCCCUGCCUCCUGACGCCCCACACUACACCCUAUGUUACAUUCACUCCAAACCGUUUGAAGUUCCGAAGCAUGCCAGAAAAUUCUUUACCCCUAUGCCUUUCAUCAUUAUUGUGAUAAUUAUGACAAUGCUGAUACUGUUCUCCUGGGUCUUACUAAUGUGCUGGGUUCUACACAUGUGCUGUUUCACUUAAAUCCCCCUCCCCAACUCAUGAAGCUGUCAUUGUCAAUCCCACUUAACAAAUGAGCAAACUGAGGGUCAGGGUGAAGAGCUGGGCUUUGGAGCCAGACAAUCUGGGUUCAUGCCCAGCUCCACUGCUAUCUAAUUAGUCUGACCUUGGGCGAAUUCCAUCUGUCUCCCAGCUCCAGUAUCUUGCGUAACACUGAGCAUGAUGAAGCUGCCUCGUGGGGCUGUUCUGAGAAUUAAAUUAGAUGGGCACGGCGUUUGGCAACUGGUUAGAACUUCAAAAAUGUUCGGAAUUAUUAAUGCCCACUUCGUAAGUGGCCAAGAAAGAAACUGACUCAGCUCAGCUCUGAUUCCGACCCCUUGGCUUCUCAAGUUGCUAGUUCAGGACCCAGCUGUGUCCCCUCUGCUCCACCACGGCAAGGUGGGCUUCACUGCCUUUCUUUAGAGAUGAGGGCACUGAUGCUCAGGCAAGGUUCCAGGUGCUUCUUUUUCACUUGGCCUAAAUGCCUCUCAGAACUUCUAGGAAGAGUUUUAUGAUCUCCUUCUGUCCUCUCUGUGGCUCCCUCCCUUCCAAGUUGAACAAACACCCUUCCCCCUCAGUCUCCUCCAUACUGGGUCGUCUGGGCUGCUUUCCUGCAGAUCCAGGGCCAGGAGUCCCUUCAAGUCCUGUUGGAAUCAGAUCUUCUCACCGCCCCCCACCCCCACCCCCAGCACUGGGCCUGGGUAAGGGAAAGGGUUCAGACCUCUUUGUAGAAGAAACCAACGGGUUAUAAUCAGGUAAGUCAACACCUGAUAGUAUUUGGGCACAUCCCAGCCCCCAACAACACAUCCAGGAUGUCUGGAGGUGGAGGGUGGAAAGACAGUGAAGGAUUUUGAUGUAACUCUUGAUGCCCUGCUAGAGGUCAGUGCAAAGAUACUUUAAAGAACACUGUCUAUAUUCCUGAGAAAUGUGGCAGAAUUUCAAGACAAUGAUAGGAUGGGCUUGAGGGCGGGAGGAGCAAGGCAGAGGGAAGAAGACUGUCCGUUCCCCAUGCGUGUUGUGUUGUUACACGGAGAAAAAUGCCUUCACUGCCAUUACAGAGGAGGGGAAAGAUGGGGCCUCCGUAAGAUCCGACGCUGGAAUUACAGACAGGAGCUUUCUGGGAAUUCCUAUACUAAAAGUCCUUGGAGAGCCAGCUACUCAUGGUGGCACAGGCACCCGAGUCCCUCCCCUGAUCCUGCUUUAUUUUUCCUCAUAGCACCUGGCACCUCCAGACACAUCAGAUAUUUGCUUGUUGUCUGUCCCCUUGCCUCCCAGGCCGGAAUUUUGUCCGGGUUCCCAGUUGUGUCCCCAGGGCCUAGAACAGUCCUGGCACUUAGUAGGCCCUGGCACUUAGUAGGCCCUCAAUAAGUAUCUGUUGGAGGCCUAAUGUCUUGAACGCACACGCUGUCACCGACCCCGCUGCGAGGUGGGCCGGGAGGGAUUGGCAUCAUUCCCAAGCACAGGGGC